rnacentral:misc_RNA from 1 species
GUGAAUCAUCAAAUUUUUGAACGCAAAUUGCACUCUCCUCUGAGAGUAUGCCUGUGUGAGGUUCAGCCUAUAAUAAAUCGUCAUCGUUGCUGUUUCGCGGUGGCGUUCGUCGGAAAUUGUUUCAUCUUACAUCCUUUUGAUUUAAUCGACUUAAACUUUUCUGUUGCUUCCAUGAACGUUUCUAAUAUCUACUUCUUUACACGUUUAAGGUAUCGAUCUUUCCUAGACGUUACCAUCAUAUCUGUUCGCGUCCAUAAUCGUUCAGUUACUGACCUCA